AACGAACGCUGGCGGCAUGCCUAACACAUGCAAGUCGAACGAGACCUUCGGGUCUGGUGGCGCACGGGUGCGUAACGCGUGGGAACCGGCCCUUAGGUUCGGAAUAAUUCCCCGAAGGGGGUGCUAAUACCGGAUAAUGUCCUCGGACCAAAGAUUUGUCGCGUUUGGAUGGGCCCGCGUUGGUUUAGCUAGUUGGUAGGGUAAAAGCCGACCAAGGCGACGAUCGCUAGCUGGGUUGAGAGGAUGAUCAGCCACACUGGGACUGGGACACGGCCGAGAAUCCUACGGAAGGCAGCAGUGGGGAAUAUUGGACAAUGGGGGAAAGGCUGAUCCAGCAAUGCCGGGUGAGUGAUGAAGGCCUUAGGGUUGUAAAGCUCUUUUACCCGGGAUGAUAAUGACGGUACCGGGAGAAUAAGCUCCGGCUAACUCCGUG
rnacentral:rRNA from 1 species